rnacentral:lncRNA from 1 species
GGGUACACUCUGACCAUUGUCCUGUCUUAAUCAAUUUGAACCCUGAAUCAUCACCUCGCCCUUUUCACUCCUUCAUACUCAAAAAAUUCUGGAUGGUCCAUCUUGAUUUUUUCAAUGUGGUUAGAGAAUCCUGGAUAGGUCCUCCUACGCCCAUUUCAGGCGAUCUCUCAGCCCUCUCUUCUAUUUUAAAGAACUGGAGUAAAAAAAAUUGAUAACAUUUUCUGGAAAAAGAAGAACCUCUUAGCUCGUCUCCUAGGGAUCCAGAAAUCUCUUCAAUCUCACUUCUCAACCUUCCUUGUUAGCCUGGA